rnacentral:rRNA from 1 species
GACGAACGCUGGCGGCGUGCUUAACACAUGCAAGUCGAACGGAAAGGCCCUGCUUUUGUGGGGUGCUCGAGUGGCGAACGGGUGAGUAACACGUGAGUAACCUGCCCUUGACUUUGGGAUAACUUCAGGAAACUGGGGCUAAUACCGGAUAGGAGCUCCUGCUGCAUGGUGGGGGUGGGAAAGUUUCGGCGGUUGGGGAUGGACUCGCGGCUUAUCAGCUUGUUGGUGGGGUAGUGGCUUACCAAGGCUUUGACGGGUAGCCGGCCUGAGAGGGUGACCGGCCACAUUGGGACUGAGAUACGGCCCAGACUCCUACGGGAGGCAGCAGUGGGGAAUAUUGCACAGUGGGCGGAAGCCUGAUGCAGCAACGCCGCGUGCGGGAUGACGGCCUUCGGGUUGUAAACCGCUUUCGCCUGUGACGAAGCGUGAGUGACGGUAAUGGGUAAAGAAGCACCGGCUAACUACGUG